GAAUAGUCAGAUAGGGAAGCUGCUAACUUUCUUAUAGCGAGUAGCUACUAAGAG
rnacentral:tRNA from 1 species